CGGAGGGAGGCGGAGAGGGAGGGGAGAGCGGAGAGGGGAGGGAGGGAGGCGAGAGAAAGGAGCUGCAGCGGACUCGGACUUCCCAAAGCCGGCCAGGAGCGCGCAGCCAGCGGCUCUCCGCGUCCCAGCGUCCCAGCCGCGGCCGGCGCCUCCUCCUCCUCCUCCUCCUCUCCGGCCGCCCCAUCCCUUCCUUCCAGCCUCGCUCUGCUCCGGCAGCGGCAGCCCCCAGCCCCAGCUCUCCGCGCUCACUCCUGGGACGCGCGCCCUCGCCCCAUCCUCUCUUCCUCCCUCCCUCCCUUCCUUCCUUCCCUCGCGCCCGCCCUCCCGCCCCAGGUCUCCCUCCCGGUCGCGAUUGUCUCCGCGCCCCGCUCGGCCGGCCCGCGCCCGCGCCCUGCCCGCACUUCCUCCCCGAGUCGCCCGCCGCCGUCGUCUGCGCGCCGCGGGAGCCCAGCCCGAGCCUUCGCAGCCCCGCGGCGCCCGCCCGAGGCAGCCCCGGCGCCCCGGGGAAGGCAGAAGCGGGCGAGCGCGCCCUCGCCCAGCCCCGCGCCCCAGCCCUGCCCGGCGACGAAGGACCGGGAAGAUGAACAACGGCGGCAAAGCCGAGAAGGAGAACACCCCGAGCGAGGCCAACCUCCAGGAGGAAGAGGUCCGAACCCUAUUUGUCAGCGGUCUCCCUCUGGAUAUCAAACCUCGAGAACUCUAUCUGCUUUUCAGACCGUUCAAGGGCUAUGAGGGUUCUCUUAUAAAGCUCACAUCUAAACAGCCUGUAGGUUUUGUCAGUUUUGACAGUCGCUCAGAAGCAGAAGCUGCAAAGAAUGCGUUGAAUGGCAUCCGCUUCGAUCCUGAAAUACCGCAAACACUACGACUCGAGUUUGCUAAGGCAAACACGAAGAUGGCCAAGAACAAACUAGUAGGGACUCCAAACCCCAGCACUCCUCUGCCCAACACUGUACCUCAGUUCAUCGCCAGAGAGCCGUAUGCGCUGGCUCCCUCCCUCCGAGGCUACUUCUCAGGGCUGGAAGUCCCGUCAGUUCUGCUGAAUACUGUGUCCCAGGUGUGUGAUGGCGGCUGCAAUCUGUCUUGUGGGUUUUAAUGCAAUCUUCCAUGGUGGUCACUGUGCUCCAGCUGUUCUGCAAAACUGGAGCGUGCCGGCUUGCGAAAACCUCGCCCAGUUUUGACCCCUUCAAGACUUUGCCACAGCCUCUAUCACACAUCUGUUUUUCUCGAAGAAAAAAAAUAUAUAAUAAAAAUGUUUUACUCUUUUACACUGUAUAAUUGUUAAGGAAUAGUGUUAUUUGUGAAUGCAUGGUCUGACAUUUCUGUACAGUAUGGAGAUAUUUUCAAAUGAAACAUAAAAGAAGUCAACAAAAAUACAAAGAAAAGUGAGUAUUUUUAUACCCAACAUUUUAUGUAUGACCAGAUGGGUGAGCUUACACUGGUUGGAUCACAGGUUCUGUGCUUGACUUUUGAAUGCUUGUAAUUAAAAUUUUCUAUUUUUUUCCCUUUAAGAUAAGCUGCAUGUUUGAGGCAUGUUUUUAAAUAUUACCAAAAUGUCCAGAAUCGUGCUGUGAAUGUGUAGGACCCUCUUUGGAGUCCAGGGCAGCUUAGUGACGCGGUGUUAGAUGUUAGGAACUGUUCCUGCAGCAGGAGGUCUCAGCCCAGUCCCCUGGGAUGUCCUGGCAAGACAAUCAGAAGCUGCCAGGAGCUUCUACCAUAAUGGCAUGCUCGCAGCCGGGCGCUGGUGAAAACUGCUGCCACCACCCAUACUGUGUGCCCAGUGUCAGUUGCUUCUCUUCGUAACAGCACGCUCUGUGUGUCUGUGUGUGUGAGACCCACCUGAUGUAUAAUAUAAACUCACUUUCAGAAGUCAUCCCUGCCUCCCCCCACUCCAUGGAAGUGCAAGUCUGUCUCCCUGCCAAGGGGCACCUUGGUUCAGGAGGACAGCACAGAUGUACAUCCGUCUGGCUGGGGUCCUAAGCCUUGGCAGCACUGUGCCCAACGGACCGACUCCUGUGCCAGCACAAAGCGGCUGGUGGCUGCUGGCGUGAGCGCUGCUCCGCUUGCUCCAAAGACCUCUUCAAAGCCACAAAGCCUCUCGUGCUGUAGGUCGGCCAGCGGCCAGCUCCUCCUGUACGAGAGCCGUGCGUAGAAUCAGAGUGCUCUAAGACUUCUGACUGCUGAUAUAGCUAAACGUGAUCACAAUCCUUCUUACUGAUCUGCUCACAUUGUGUUGAAAACUUCAAUUCUUUAAUGCUUAUAGAGCUGGUUUGGGGUUUAUUAUUUUUUGUUAGAGGUAAAGAUGUCAAGAAGCUUUUAAAGGCCAUCGCAAAAAAAAAAAAAAAAAAAAGAAAGAAAGAAAGAAAGAAAGAAACAAGGCCAGAAGUGAAGAGCCAUUUCCUCCCAUAAAUAAGAGGGAAAGGGCGGGGAGCAGUUUCGGGGCCCUGCUGGGAUCUUGGUGAGUCCUGUACUGUUCCUAAGAAAACAGCCACUUCACGGUCGAUUGUGCUUUUAUAAACUUUAAAAGGUACUUUUUUAUUGUCAUUUUUAAAAAAUAAAGUGCUUAUUCCAGCUGUCGUA